CGUCGUCGCCGUUGCGCGAGCGGGCACUUACCGCCUGGCUGGCCGUCCAGCGCCUCUAAGGCGUUUCAGGGUCUCUCGGAGCGUCUCUCGACCGAGACUCCUCCAGUAGCGCCGGGCAAGCAAGGCAAAGCAAAGCGGGGUUCAAAGAAAGCAGCCCGUGGGGAGGGGAUUGCUGCGCGCUCUCUGGUAUCUGUGAAGUAUGUAAGACCUGCGUGUUGCGACCGGCUUCCACACAAUGACCAUCUUUCUGGUGGGGUACACAAGAAUAAGUCCGUGGAGUACAAGUUGUCCUGAACUUACAACCAUUCAUUUAAUGACUGUUUGAAGUUACAGUGAAACUGAAAAAAGUUAUUUACAACUGGUCCUCAACUUAGGACCAUCACAGUAACCUCACAAUCGUGAUCAGAAUUCAGGCCCUUGGCAACAGGCAUGUAUUUACAACAGUUGGAGCACUUGGGUCCACGUGAUUAUCAUUUGCAACCUUUCCAACUAGAUUCCAAAAGCAAAGUCGGGGGUGGGAGAACUGGAUUCACUUAAUGACCAUAUGAUUCACUUAACAAUUGCCUUGCUUAACAACAAAUUCUUGUUCCAUUUGUAGUCAUAAAUCGAGGACUGUACAGCAGAAGCAGCAAAAAGGCAGAACCAAAUACAGAGAACUACUUCCCUCCCCCCUUUUUAAUUUAGCAGGUUUUCCCCAUUUGCACCUAAGCAUAGUGCAAGCAUAUCCUGUAUGCCUCUUCCCCUGCUCCCACAUAACAUUGCCUUCUUAUGAUUUCUCAUUCUGUAGUUAAAACACCAUUUCCCCUCCUCUUCCCACUUCUUCCAAGAGUAGCAACAAGGCCUAUAAAAUUGUCUAACUAGAGAUUAAGGGGACUGUGCUAAUCUGAAACAGCCAGAUCUGUAAUGGGGACAGCAGAUUUCAUGUACAUAAAAAGUUUUCUGUCAGCUGAAGGAUAUGAGUCAAACCCAAAUAAACUGCAUUAUGGCUUGAAUCCAGUCUUCCACUGCCUUCUGUCAGCCAAAGGCCUAAACUUAUCAUUUGUAGAAAGGGCUUUUUCCUAUCUGUCAUUUUUACUCCUCUGUGCCAGAGGUCUAAACUGAUCACUUUCAGAGAGCUUUCCUUUCUCUUGCUCAAUCUAUUGUUAACUCUUCCAACUUUUUUUCUCUCUCCAUCUUUCUCCUAUGCCUCACAAUUCCCUCCUCUUUACCAAAUUAAGGUGAGAGCAGAGUUGUUCAACCCUGAUUUUUUUUUAAAAAAAAAAUCCUUAAAAUCUUUUACAGAAAAUCAAAUAUUUUAUUUUUAAAAUUUAUAUAGUUGACCACCUCAUGGUUGAUUUCUAGAAGAAAUAAAUUCAUAAUUAUUUGGAGUUGUGGUGGGGUAUGAAUUCAGUAAAUAAAUAAUGCUUCACUGUUUGCCAUUAUGACGCUGAUGAAAAAGUAAUUGUGAUCAAGCCAUGCAUUUACAACUUUUGCAGGUCUAUAAAGCAAAGGAAGGCUGAAGUAAGAUUGUAACUACAGUUGCAGUUUCAUUUAGCAACUGCUUUGCUUAACAAUGAAUUCGCUUGUCCCAAUUGUCAUUAAAUGAGGACUACCUAUAUUUGUACCUGAUUACGAGUAGUCCUCGACUUACAAUUGCACAGCAAACAUUUGAAGUUAUAACGGACCUACCAGGCGGCUAUUUACGAUCCAGAUUCAGGGGUCUGAAUGGUUGCCUCCCCCAGUGGUCAUAUGACCGAACUUCAGGACCCAGUAUCCUAGCUGCAUUUAUAGCUGUUUAACAUCCUGCAAUCACAUGAUCACCUUUUACCAAGGUUUUGUCAAAAAUUGGCAGUUACUUCCAGUUUUCAGCAAAAUCAUGGAUUUACUUAAUGACCAUGGUGGCUGCUUUAUGACUGUCAUAAAAAAAGUCACAUGAUGACCCAUUUUACAAUCAUCACAACUUAUGGCUAUAAUGGGUAGGCUCCAUUACAUUUGUAAGUCAAGGACUACCAGUAUGUAACUUAUUUCAAAUAGCCUAAGACUUUUGAAAGAUGGCAACCUUAAAAUGAACCCACCAUCUUUAUAAUAGAAGUAUUGAGGGGGCGGUUUCACAAACGUAGCUAUUUAACAUUUUGAUCCAAUAAUUUUAUUAUUCUGCAUAUAUAUCUGUAAAAAUGCAAUUAGAUAUUUAUUCAGAACUGUUAUUUAAUAAGAAUUACUUAUAAGUAACUAUAUCAAUAACAGCUGAAUUUUUAGUGACAGUACAAUCUUGAUCGGUUGGUGCUUUAUAAUUGUAUUGAUUUAAUUUGCUGCAUAAGAUCAAAAAAAAAUUUCUGAGUUUACUGUCUCCAUCACAAUUUAGUGUGACCUAUAAAGUUGAAAGCAACCCUUUUAGUUUUCUUUGUAGAGAACUCACAAUUAGCUCUGUUGUAAGAAAUUACUGCUUUAUAUCAGUCUAGCUGCAGACAUCUUACUUAUCUGUGUAUCAUUACCCUGAUGUCUUUUAUCUCCCAACAUUUAUAGUUUCUAGAGCAGUGAUUCUCAACCUUUCUAAUGCUGUGACCCCA